AACCUAACCCGCCUCGGCGGCAUGGUUAUCAAAAUCCAUCGUGAAAUAAAAGCUCGUCGUCAGAGCACUAUUUCACGAUGGUCGGUACUGGAAACGGUAUCGGGUAGCCUCGGCUAUC
ncrna:unclassified sequences LOOT RNA